CGGAGGAUCCAAGCGUUGUCCGGAUUUACUGGGUUUAGAGGGUGCGUAGGUCGGACUUUUAAGUCAGUGGUGAAAGCUGGUAGCUUAACUAUCAAAUUGCCAUUGAAACUGAAAGUCUCGAGUAUGGUUGAGGUGGCCGGAAUGUAUCAUGUAGCGGUGAAAUGCUUAGAUAUGAUACAGAACACCAAUUGCGAAGGCAGGUCACUAAACCAUAACUGACGCUGAGGCACGAAAGCGUGGGGAGCAAACAGGAUUAGAUACCCUGGUAGUCCACGCCCUAAACGUUGAUAACUCGCUGUUGGCGAUAUACAGUCAGCGGCUAAGCGAAAGCGGUAAGUUAUCCACCUGGGGAGUACGGUCGCAAGAUUG
rnacentral:rRNA from 1 species